UACCCGCUGAACUUAAGCAUAUCAAUAAGCGGAGGAAAAGAAACUAACAAGGAUUCCCCUAGUAACUGCGAGUGAAGCGGGAAAAGCUCAAAUUUGAAAUCUGGCAGUUUUUUGACUGUCCGAGUUGUAAUCUAGAGAAGUGUUACCUGUGCUGAACCGUGUACAAGUCUCCUGGAAUGGAGCAUCAUAGAGGGUGAGAAUCCCGUCUUUGACAUGGACUAUCUGUACGUUAUGGUGCGCUCUCAAAGAGUCGAGUUGUUUGGGAAUGCAGCUCAAAAUGGGUGGUAAAUGCCAUCUAAAGCUAAAUAUUGGCGAGAGACCGAUAGCGAACAAGUACCGUGAGGGAAAGAUGAAAAGAACUUUGGAAAGAGAGUUAAACAGUACGUGAAAUUGCUGAAAGGGAAACGCUUGAAGUCAGUCACGUUGGCUAGAAAUCAGCCUUGCUCUUGCUUGGUGUACUUUCUGGUUGAUGGGUCAGCAUCAAUUUUGACCAUUGGAUAAAGUCUCUGGGAAUGUGGCAUCUUUGGAUGUGUUAUAGCCCAGGGUCGCAUGCAGUGGUUGGGAUUGAGGAACUCAGCACGCCGCAAGGCCGGGUUUUUGGACCACGUUCGUGCUAGGAUGC
rnacentral:rRNA from 1 species